rnacentral:rRNA from 1 species
AAUGAACGUUGGCGGCAUGGAUUAGGCAUGCAAGUCGCGCGCGAAAUGUAGCAAUACAUGGAGAGCGGCGAAAGGGAGAGGAAUACGUGGGAACCUACCUUCGGGCCUGGAAUAGCGGCGGGAAACUGCCGGUAAUGCCAGAUGACGUCUCCGGACCAAAGGUGUGAUUCCGCCGGCAGCUGGGCCCACGUCCUAUCAGCUAGUUGGUGUGGUAAUGGCGCACCAAGGCUAAAACGGGUAUGGGGUGUGAGAGCAUGCCCCCACUCACUGGGACUGAGACACUGCCCAGACACCUACGGGUGGCUGCAGUCGAGAAUCUUCGGCAAUGAGCGCAAGCUUGACCGAGCGAUGCCGCGUGCGGGAUGAAGGCCUUCGGGUUGUAAACCGCUGUCGUAGGGGAAUAAUGGCCAAGGGGUACUCUUCUUGUUUUGAAUGAUCCUAGGAGGAAGGACGGGCUAAGUUCGUGCCAGCAGCCGCAGUAA